UACGAAGGGUGCAAGCGUUAUUCGGAAUCACUGGGCGUAAAGCGCGCGUAGGCGGCUUGUUAAGUCUGCUGUGAAAGCCCCGGGCUCAACCCGGGAACGGCAGUGGAUACUGGCAAGCUAGAGUGUGUCAGAGGAUGGUGGAAUUCCCGGUGUAGCGGUGAAAUGCGUAGAGAUCGGGAGGAACAUCAGUGGCGAAGGCGGCCAUCUGGGACAACACUGACGCUGAGGCACGAAAGCGUGGGGAGCAAACAGG
rnacentral:rRNA from 1 species